ACUGUUGUUUUUUAAUGGUCGUCAUGAAAAAAAACAUAAGGGGUAACACUGUUGUUUUUUAUUGGUCGUCAUGAAAAAAAACAUAAGGGGUAACACUGUUGUUUUUUAUUGGUCGUCAUGAAAAAAAAAUAUGGGGUAACACAGUUGUUUUUUAUUUGUCGUCAUGAAAAAAAACAUAAGGGGGGUAACACUGUUAUUUUUUAUUGGUCGUCAUGAAAAAAAACAUAAAGGGUAACACUGUUGUUUUUUAUUGGUCGUCAUGAAAAAAAACAAAGCGUAACACUGUUGUUUUUGUCAAAUAAAAUAUAAGGGGUAACACUGUUGUUUUUUAUUGGUCGUCAUGAAAAAAACCAUAAGGGGUAACACUGUUGUUUUUUAAUGGUCGUCAUGAAAAAAAACAUAAGGGGUAACACUGUUGUUUUUUAUUGGUCGUCAUGAAAAAA
ensembl:lncRNA